GUUUGCUUUAACUACUUCAUGAAUUGCAUAAAAUACAAGUGCUAUUUUAAAGUUCAUCUACAAAUUUCAAAGGCUAUUUGAAGCUACAUCUUGCACUUCAAACUGGAACUCACAUCAUAGCUCCAAUGCUUAAAUAUUUCACAUUAUUCAAGGAAUUGUUUCAUCUCUCCAGUAGAAAAUAGUAAACACCGAACACUAAUAAGGAAUUGGUGAGAAUCGGGGCAAGUGCUUGACAGCAAUCCAGUGAUAAUUUUCAAGAAAUCCUUUGUAAACUACAUUAGGAGCCUUCUGUCCAUGCUUUGGCACAAUGUUUUCAAAAGAAACCUCAUUUGUAGAAGAUUUCAAUUCCUCCCAACUGAACUCUUUAAAGCUUGGCAAUUCAUUUUCUUACCAUUUUCUGUGACCAUUUUACACAAAACCCAAUAAUAUAAAUUAAAGAAAAAUCAAGAUUUAUGAUCUAAUUAUUUAUUUUUUAAAUGUUAAGGCAUUAUUGAAACCAGUUGAAGUUUGGAAAGAAUAACAAAAUAAUAUAGAUGGGUAGUUUCCUGCAAAAAAAUAGAAGCAUUAUUAAACUCUAUACACGAAAAAGAAGGAUACAUGCCCAGAAAGAGAAUUG
rnacentral:lncRNA from 1 species